rnacentral:rRNA from 1 species
UACGAAGGGGGCUAGCGUUGUUCGGAAUUACUGGGCGUAAAGCGCACGUAGGCGGACUUGUCAGUCAGGGGUGAAAUCCCGAGGCUUAACCUCGGAACUGCCUUUGAUACUGAGGAUCUUGAGUUCGGGAGAGGUGAGUGGAACUGCGAGUGUAGAGGUGAAAUUCGUAGAUAUUCGCAAGAACACCAGUGGCGAAGGCGGCUCACUGGCCCGAUACUGACGCUGAGGCACGAAAGCGUGGGGAGCAAACAGG